AUGCAAGUAAGAGACACGCUUCAUUUGGAAGUUAAUCUGUCAUGGUCAGCGUAUUGUGAUGUUAACAUGCCCCUUGAAGGACUGCAGGAGUGCUUGCCACGCUUAAUACCAACUUUGGUGUCAAACAUGGUCUACACUGAGGAUGAUGAAUCGCUUGUAGAUGCUGAGGAUCUAAAAUAUAGGAAUAAACAAAAAAGUCCAUUUUGGCGUACUACUAUAUUUCCAUGGCAUAUGUCCGAUGUCAGGCCUCUUAUAUGUGCUUUCGACUUACUUGAUCGUAUUUUAGUUGCUCGUGAUUCUGCCUUGUCCUAG
rnacentral:rRNA from 1 species